AGACCGAGGUGAUGGGUUUUGUCUGCUCCCAGGGCUCCCUGGAGACACGCCAGCCUGGAUGCACAAAGGGAAACAUCUCAGUGCCUCAGGGAGAGCACAGAUGCCUGGCAUGGAGGGGGAUUAAAUCUGUGCCCUUGCUCAGCAGCAAAAGCUGCAAGAUGCUGCCCUUAUUCUCAUCUUGGCGUUUUCCAUCCCCAGACUGCUCAGGCCAUUCACUCGGCAGUUCUGCUGUGUCAGCAGCUGUGCUUUAUGAUUUAAGACAGCAGCAGAACUUUCCACUGAACUAUAAGCCCAUGUAUCCAGUUUCCUGGUAUCCACACAACUGGGAAGCUAACUGAUGGCCGGGAUAGCCCUGCUGAAGAGGUCAAGGAUGUGUUCAGAUGACAGAGAGACAAUGAGGGCCGGCACAAAACCAAAUUGAAUGGCAUAACCCCCAGGAAGAGACUUGGCUUUGAAGGUACCAGGAUGCUGUGGAAGGAGCUGGAUGGUGGUCCUGGACACCUGAGCUAUUGGAUGAGCUGAGGACACAAUAUUGGCAAUGGAAGCAAGUCUGCCCAUGACUUGGAGAAGCUGAGAGAAUUACUCAAGAAAAAAGACCUGACCCCUGUGAGCACCCCUGCAGAGCCAAGGAAGUGAGGACUGGUCCCCUUUCAGAGCGGGAAAACACUGAAGAGGCAAAGCAUCUUCAUCACUCUAGAAGUAUUCCUUAUAAAAAGGGGUCUCAGCACACCUUAAAGAGGUCACCUGAGCUCCUGCCUGAGUCUUGAAGAGCAAGC